rnacentral:rRNA from 1 species
UAGGAACCGAAGGCGACCGACCCUUCGGGAGCUUGCACAGGUGCUGCAUGGCUGUCGUCAGCUCGUGUCGUCGAGAUGUUCGGUUAAGUCCGCUAACGAGCGCAACCCUCGCUGUGUGUUACAAGUGUCACACGGUACUGCCGGUCUUAAGCCGGAGGAAGGUGGGGAUGACGUCAAAGUCAGCAUGGCCUUUAUGUCCUGGGCUACACACACGCUACAAUGGCCAACACAAUAGGUUGCUAAGCCGCGAGGUGGAGCCAAUCCUCAAAGUUGGUCUCAGUUCAGAUUGCAGGCUGCAACCCGCCUGCAUGAAGAUGGAGUUGCUAGUAACCGCAGGUCAGCUAUACUGCGGUGAAUACGUUCCCGGGGCUU